UAAAGAUAAGGUCUGCUAGAUGUUUUAAAGGGAAGAGUAAUGCCCUUUCUUCAAUAGCUUACUUCAAAACAUUUGAUGUCAGCUAGAUGUUUUAAAGGGAAGAGUAAUGCCUUUCCUUUAAUUGCUUGCUUCAAAACAUUUGAUGUCCAGUGGAGUAAGUUUAAUCGGGAAGGUACGGUGCAUUAAGGAGGGUAUGGUGUAAUGAUGGAUACUUUACGAACUUGCAUUGACUUCUGAAAUUUUAAUUGUUUAUAUUUUUUUUUUUUUGUAGGAAGUUAUAAAAAUUAAACAGGAAACCAGCUUAUUAAUCAUUUCAAGUGUCCAGUUGAGUGGGAUUGUUUUUUGCUUGGUUUCGGCUGUAACCCAGGUAUUAAUGAGCAUUCAGCUAGUUAAUGAAGGAAGAACCAGUAUAGUUGAAGAUAGGUUGUCAAAUUGACUCUACUGGUCAUCUACAUAUCAUUUAUCGACUCAACAUCAUUUGCAUAUUUGCCUGAAAGUGUGGCAGUUUAAUGCAAAGAAAUCCUAAUUUGUUUGCUAAUGAAUUUUACUUCCUUUUACUGUCACUGAUGUGUUGCUUCAUAAAAUGUAUGAAGGUAACUAUGAAAGGAAGGAGAUUAUAAGUUCAUCUUUAGAUAGCUCAACCACAUGAGUUUAAAUGUGGAUAGAUGAGUUCAGAUGGGAUGGUACACAGUACAGGGCUGUUACAUUGACUUGUGAAAUAUUUUGUGCUUAAUAUUGUAGAUAAAAUAUUCUGUGCAUAUUCCUUGAAGGGUCUGGUAACAUGCUUAUCACCUAUCAACAUUGCUCCCAUAUUUUUUCAUCUGUUCAAUUAGGGUCCUCUUGAGUUUCUGUAAUCUAUUCUUGAAAAAGGUGACUGAAAUAUAUAUAUUAGGUAGACUGUAGUAUAAAUGCUUGAUUGUAAUGCCAUUCACUGUUGUCGUCUGGAUCCAUUAUAGUAGAUGUAUGGACAUACUCUUACCUCCUUCAACAUUUCAAGGGUAAUCUAGAGAAUAAGAUGUCAGUAUUUAGUUUGUUUCCCUAUCCCUAGGAUGUCUGUGGCAUUUGCACUGAGGUUAAAUUUAUAAAUAAAUAGCUUUAUUUGAAAUGCUAAGGAUUUCUUAAUAAAUUUUGACCAUUGCAAGUGGCGUGUCUUUUAGUCAUAGCCAAGUAAAAUUAGGAUUUAUGAAAAUUGGCAAAAAAAAAAAAAAAAAAAAACGGAUUUAUGAAAGUGUGUGUUUGCUACUAUGGGAGUGUUUAACAAGCCCGGAGCACUGAGUAACAAUUUAAGAUUUUUUUUCUCAGUUUGUACCUGCAGCAUCAUCUGAACUAUAUUUUUACAUUUAAUUCAUUUUAAUCUUGUAUUAAAUUUGGUCUUUUGCAGGUUGGACAUCUAUUUUUCUGUGAGCAGUUGUUGUAGUUGUGUUCAAGUUCUAAGAAGUUCUGCGUUGUAUAAUAAGGUGUAGAGUGGUGAUUCUGCGUUGGAUAAGAGGCAGUAGUGGAAGAUGUUCAGUCUUGAAAAUUAAAGCGUGGUGAUCCUGCUUUGGGUAAGAGGAGUAGUGGAAGAUGUUCCGUCUUGAAAAUAAAAGCGGGUGUUCCUACUGUGGAUAAAAGGAAGUCUGACAAAUGUUCCAUCUAAAAAAGACUAUAAAUCUAGAGG